rnacentral:misc_RNA from 1 species
UCCACCCUCAAGCCCGGCUUGCCGUUGGGUUGCGUUGGGCGUCAGGCUCAACGGACCUCAAAGGUAAUGGCAGAGCCUGCGAGGGCCCCGGACGCAGCGAGCUCUCCAGCACGCGUCGUGGGGAUCCCUUCGGGCUUGGCCUUAAUCGACGAAUUUUUCA